rnacentral:rRNA from 1 species
CCUACGGGUGGCAGCAGUAGGGAAUCUUCCACAAUGGGCGAAAGCCUGAUGGAGCAACGCCGCGUGGGUGAAGAAGGUCUUCGGAUCGUAAAACCCUGUUGUUAGAGAAGAAAGUGCGUGAGAGUAACUGUUCACGUUUCGACGGUAUCUAACCAGAAAGCCACGGCUACCUACGUGCCAGCAGCCGCGGUAAUACGUAGGUGGCAAGCGUUAUCCGGAUUUUUUGGGCGUAAAGGUAACGCAGGCGGUCUUUUAAGUCUGAUGUGAAGUCCUUCGGCUUAACCGGAGUAGUGCAUUGGAAUCUGGGAGACUUGAGUGCAGAAGAGGAGAGUGGAACUCCAUGUGUAGCGGUGAAAUGCGUAGAUAUAUGGAAGAACACCAGUGGCGAAAGCGGCUCUCUGGUCUGUAACUGACGCUGAGGUUCGAAAGCGUGGGUAGCAAACAGGAUUAGAUACCCUUGUAGUC